UCGGGAAUUUUGGGCAAUGGGCGAAAGCCUGACCCAGCAACGCCGCGUGAAGGAUGAAGUAUUUCGGUAUGUAAACUUCGAAAGAAUGGGAAGAAUAAAUGACGGUACCAUUUAUAAGCUCCGGCUAACUACGUGCCAGCAGCCGCGGUAAUACGUAGGGAGCAAGCGUUGUUCGGAUUUACUGGGCGUAAAGGGCGCGUAGGCGGCGCGGUAAGUCACUUGUGAAAUCUCUGAGCUUAACUCAGAACGGCCAAGUGAUACUGCAGUGCUAGAGUGCAGAAGGGGCAAUCGGAAUUCUUGGUGUAGCGGUGAAAUGCGUAGAUAUCAAGAGGAACACCUGAGGUGAAGACGGGUUGCUGGGCUGACACUGACGCUGG
rnacentral:rRNA from 1 species